GACGAACGCUGGCGGCGUGCUUAACACAUGCAAGUCGAACGAUGAAGCCUAGCUUGCUAGGUGGAUUAGUGGCGAACGGGUGAGUAAUACGUGAGUAACCUACCUUUAACUCUGGGAUAAGCCUGGGAAACUGGGUCUAAUACCGGAUACGACCAAUCUCCGCAUGGGGUGUUGGUGGAAAGCGUUAUGUAGUGGUUAUAGAUGGGCUCACGGCCUAUCAGCUUGUUGGUGAGGUAACGGCUCACCAAGGCGACGACGGGUAGCCGGCCUGAGAGGGUGACCGGCCACACUGGGACUGAGACACGGCCCAGACUCCUACGGGAGGCAGCAGUGGGGAAUAUUGCACAAUGGGCGCAAGCCUGAUGCAGCGACGCCGCGUGAGGGAUGACGGCCUUCGGGUUGUAAACCUCUGUUAGCAGGGAAGAAGAGAGAUUGACGGUACCUGCAGAGAAAGCGCCGGCUAACUACGUGCCAGCAGCCGCGGUAAUACGUAGGGCGCGAGCGUUGUCCGGAAUUAUUGGGCGUAAAGAGCUUGUAGGGCGGUUUGUCGCGUCUGCUGUGAAAGGCCGGGGCUUAACCCCGUGUAUUGCAGUGGGUACGGGCAGACUAGAGUGCAGUAGGGGAGACUGGAAUUCCUGGUGUAGCGGUGGAAUGCGCAGAUAUCAGGAGGAACACCGAUGGCGAAGGCAGGUCUCUGGGCUGUAACUGACGCUGAGAAGCGAAAGCAUGGGGAGCGAACAGGAUUAGAUACCCUGGUAGUCCAUGCCGUAAACGUUGGGCACUAGGUGUGGGGGACAUUCCACGUUUUCCGCGCCGUAGCUAACGCAUUAAGUGCCCCGCCUGGGGAGUACGGCCGCAAGGCUAAAACUCAAAGAAAUUGACGGGGGCCCGCACAAGCGGCGGAGCAUGCGGAUUAAUUCGAUGCAACGCGAAGAACCUUACCAAGGCUUGACAUAUACUGGACCGCAUCAGAGAUGGUGUUUCCCUUCGGGGCUGGUAUACAGGUGGUGCAUGGUUGUCGUCAGCUCGUGUCGUGAGAUGUUGGGUUAAGUCCCGCAACGAGCGCAACCCUCGUUCUAUGUUGCCAGCACGUUAUGGUGGGGACUCAUAGGAGACUGCCGGGGUCAACUCGGAGGAAGGUGGGGAUGACGUCAAAUCAUCAUGCCCCUUAUGUCUUGGGCUUCACGCAUGCUACAAUGGCCGGUACAGAGGGUUGCGAUACUGUGAGGUGGAGCUAAUCCCUAAAAGCCGGUCUCAGUUCGGAUUGGGGUCUGCAACUCGACCCCAUGAAGUCGGAGUCGCUAGUAAUCGCAGAUCAGCAACGCUGCGGUGAAUACGUUCCCGGGCCU
rnacentral:rRNA from 1 species